GAUGAACGCUGGCGGCGUGCCUAAUACAUGCAAGUCGAGCGAACGGACGAGAAGCUUGCUUCUCUGAUGUUAGCGGCGGACGGGUGAGUAACACGUGGAUAACCUACCUAUAAGACUGGGAUAACUUCGGGAAACCGGAGCUAAUACCGGAUGAUAUUUUGAACCGCAUGGUUCAAAAGUGAAAGACGGUCUUGCUGUCACUUAUAGAUGGAUCCGCGCUGCAUUAGCUAGUUGGUAAGGUAACGGCUUACCAAGGCAACGAUGCAUAGCCGACCUGAGAGGGUGAUCGGCCACACUGGAACUGAGACACGGCCCAGACUCCUACGGGAGGCAGCAGUAGGGAAUCUUCCGCAAUGGGCGAAAGCCUGACGGAGCAACGCCGCGUGAGUGAUGAAGGUCUUCGGAUCGUAAAACUCUGUUAUUAGGGAAGAACAUAUGUGUAAGUAACUGUGCACAUCUUGACGGUACCUAAUCAGAAAGCCACGGAUAACUACGUG
rnacentral:rRNA from 1 species